GCCACCUUUAGCCUUGAGGUUGGAGGAUAUGAAGGUGUCAAGGUGCGUGGGAGGGUUCCCACAGGCUGGAUGUGAGUCCCUGCAGAGUUAUCCUUUCUUGUCCUUUUGCAACCACCACAUAUUUUUAAAAAGAUUGACAGAUAUGACAUUGAAAUAUCUAAUCAUCAGAAGACACUCAAAAAAGUAGAGUCCCAAACCUAAUGCCAGUUCUGUGCCCAUCAUAGGAAGUUUUGGGGACCAGGAUAAGUUGUUUUCUGAGUACCAGCUCAAUCAGCCUCAGAGCAAGAGUGACUCCACCCCAAGGCCUAGUGAUCAAACAGAAUGAACAAUGGGAAGGAAGACUGGGGAUCUGGGAAUCAGCUUGAAGGGUGCUGUCAAGGCAGUCAUCUUGUGUGUGUCUGCAUUCUUCACAUUUCUAUGCAUCUCUAAAGUCAGUGCCCACCUCUAAGUACAAUUGUUUAUCUGUGUGUCCAUUUAUUUACUCAAUAAGGGCUUAUUUAUCAAGGGCCUAUUUUGUAGUUUGUGCUUGGUUUAUACAAUGUGUUAAUCACUGGGUUCACAUUGGUGAAAUAAAUGGUUGGGGCCCCUGCCCUUGUAGAGCUUACACUUUGGUAAGGAGGUGAACCAUAAAGAAGAGUUAGAGAUAAACAGUGUGCUGUGUUGGAGACUAGGAGUGGGCCAUCUCAUAUGGCUACUUCAUAUGAGAUGGGUGGGGACUCUGUCUUGCUUACAAAUCCAGAAUAGUGCCUGACACAUAGUGGAACUCAAAAAUGUUGAAGGAAUGCCUGGGCUAGUCAGGAGUUCCUCUCUGUGGAGGUACAUCUUAAAUUAACCUUGAAGGAUGAGGAUCCAGCCAUUUCCAGCCCCUAAGAAAAGUAUUUUGGGUGGAGGAAGCAGCUCAUAUCUGGUUGCUGACCUCUUGUCUACUAUCAUGGAGAAUUCAUGUUACAGAGCCUUUGUUCCUGUCUGUUGUCUGUAUGAUCUUGGAUGCCCUCGGGCAGGUUUAGACAGGGCCCCUCCAGGGUCCCUAAAGGUGAGGUUAUUGCUGAGCUGAUUCACUCCACUGGGCAACUCUGGCCUAACCAGCCCAGCCUGGCCUGGUCAUUUCCCUGAAAACAAUCUUUCCCUCAAUGGCAUCAGUCCCAUGAUUUCUGGCUCCCUCCCAGGGCAUCAUCCUGUGGCCUGUAAGGAAGUCCUUCACCCUGGCUAACCACAGUCCCUGCUGAGGUAACCUUGGCCUUGUCCUCUCAUUUGGCCUCAUGGAAGAGGGGUAAGAUGGGCUAGGCCUGUAGCAGCAGGUCCUGCCUAGAUAGAGAACACAGUAAAAACCUGACAGAAUGAGGGUGACAAAACCUGGCAACCCCAGGCAAGUGAACCUCAAAAGACAGAGAUAAUCACUCAUCUUAGGAUCCUCUGUCACAUCCAUAAUCUCAUUUAAUCCUUCAACACCCCACUUUAUAGGCAGAGAGGAAAAUAGUGGCAGAUCUGGGACCAGCACCCAAGCGCUUGAUAAAAUAGUAAUAAGAACUACUGUUCAUUGCACGUUCCUCUCUGCCAGGUACUAUGCUAAAACUCUGCAUACAUUUUCUUCUUUAAGCCUAAUCACAAUGCUGUGAAGUGUUGUCCUCAGACGAGGAGACUGGGGCUCACAGCCAUUGAGUGACUUGUCCAAAUACGCCAGCUAGUUCUCAACUGGACCAGUUUGGGCUCAGGGAGUUAAUGUACUCGUGC
rnacentral:lncRNA from 1 species